rnacentral:rRNA from 1 species
GACGAACGCUGGCGGCGUGCUUAACACAUGCAAGUCGAACGGAAAGGCCCCUUUGGGGGUACUCGAGUGGCGAACGGGUGAGUAACACGUGAGUAACCUGCCCUUGACUUCGGGAUAACUUCAGGAAACUGGGGCUAAUACCGGAUAGGAAUCCUUGCUGCAUGGUGGGGGUUGGAAAGCUUCGGCGGUUUUGGAUGGACUCGCGGCUUAUCAGCUUGUUGGUGGGGUAGUGGCUUACCAAGGCUUGGACGGGUAGCCGGCCUGAGAGGGCGACCGGCGACAUUGGGACUGAGAUACGGCCCAGACCCCUACGGGAGGCAGCAGUGGGGAAUAUUGCACAAUGGGCGGAAGCCUGAUGCAGCAACGCCGCGUGCGGGAUGACGGCCUUCGGGUUGUAAACCGCUUUCAGCAGGGGCGAAGCUUGUGGUGACGGUACCUGCAGAAGAAGCACCGGCUAACUACGUG